GCCAGGGUAGCCUAGUGGACAUGGCAUCUGCCCGGUAAGCGGAACACUGUGGGUUCGAUUCCCAUCCCUGGACA